GAGGUCGUGGCUCAGAGGUACAGCGCUCACCUGGCACGUGUGAGGCCCUGGGUUUGAUCCUCAGCAUCACA
rnacentral:tRNA from 1 species